AUUGAAUAGCGGCGGACGGGUGAGUAACGCGUGGGCAACCUACCUUUAACCGGGGGAUAACACAGGGAAACUUGUGCUAAUACCGCAUAAAAUCACAGUACGGCCUCGUACAAUGAUCAAAGGAGCAAUCCGGUAAAAGAUGGGCCCGCGUCCAAUUAGCUAGUUGGUGGGGUAAAGGCUCACCAAGGCGACGAUUGGUAGCCGGACUGAGAGGUUGAUCGGCCACAUUGGGACUGAGACACGGCCCACACUCCUACGGGAGGCAGCAGUGGGGAAUAUUGCGCAAUGGGGGGAACCCUGACGCAGCCCCGCCGCGUGAAGGAUGAAGGUUUUCGGAUUGUAAACUUCUUUGAUGAGGGACGAAACAAAUGACGGUACCUCAAAAACAAGCCACGGCUAACUACGUGCCAGCAGCCGCGGUAAUACGUAGGUGGCGAGCGUUGUCCGGAAUUACUGGGUGUAAAGGGCGUGUAGGCGGGGGAGCAAGUCAGAUGUGAAAUACCGAGGCUUAACUUCGGGGGUGCAUCUGAAACUGUUUUUCUUGGGUAUCGGAGAGGAAAGUGGAAUUCCUAGUGUAGCGGUGAAAUGCGUAGAUAUUAGGAGGAACACCAGUGGCGAAGGCGACUUUCUGGACGAUAACUGACGCUGAGGCGCGAAAGCGUGGGGAGCAAACAGAAGUAGAUACCCUGGUAGUCCACGCCGUAAACGAUGGAUACUAGGUGUAGGAGGUAUCGACCCCUUCUGUGCCGCAGUUAACACAAUAAGUAUCCCACCUGGGGAGUACGGCCGCAAGGCUGAAACUCAAAGGAAUUGACGGGGACCCGCACAAGCAGUGGAGUAUGUGGUUUAAUUCGAGGCAACGCGAAGAACCUUACCAGGGUUUGACAUCCCGCGCAAUGGGUAGAGAUACCCGGUUCCCUUCGGGGACGCGGAGACAGGUGGUGCAUGGUUGUCGUCAGCUCGUGCCGUGAGAUGUUGGGUUAAGUCCCGCAACGAGCGCAACCCCUAUAUUUAUUUGCCAGCAUUUUGGAUGGGAACUAUAGACAGACUGCCGAUAAGAAAUCGGAGGAAGGUGGGGAUGACGUCAAAUCAUCAUGCCCUAUAUGUCCUGGGCUACACACGUGCUACAAUGGUCGUUACAGAGAGCAGCUACACAGCGAUGUCACGCGAAUCUCAAAAAGGCGAUCUCAGUUCGGAUUGUACUCUGCAACUCGAGUACAUGAAGUCGGAGUUGCUAGUAAUCGCAAAUCAGAAUGUUGCGGUGAAUGCGUUCCCGGGUCUUGCACACAGCGCCUGUCA
rnacentral:rRNA from 1 species